rnacentral:rRNA from 1 species
AUUGAACGCUGGCGGCAGGCCUAACACAUGCAAGUCGAGCGGAUGAGAAGAGCUUGCUCUUCGAUUCAGCGGCGGACGGGUGAGUAAUGCCUAGGAAUCUGCCUGGUAGUGGGGGACAACGUUUCGAAAGGAACGCUAAUACCGCAUACGUCCUACGGGAGAAAGCAGGGGACCUUCGGGCCUUGCGCUAUCAGAUGAGCCUAGGUCGGAUUAGCUAGUUGGUGAGGUAAUGGCUCACCAAGGCGACGAUCCGUAACUGGUCUGAGAGGAUGAUCAGUCACACUGGAACUGAGACACGGUCCAGGCUCCUACGGGAGGCAGCAGUGGGGAAUAUUGGACAAUGGGCGAAAGCCUGAUCCAGCCAUGCCGCGUGUGUGAAGAAGGUCUUCGGAUUGUAAAGCACUUUAAGUUGGGAGGAAGGGCAGUAAGUUAAUACCUUGCUGUUUUGACGUUACCGACUGAAUAAGCACCGGCUAACUCUGUGCCAGCCGCCGCCGUAAGAC